CCUCGUCCGGUUCCUUUAUCUAGUUUAGUAGUUUCUUUUACUAAAUCUAAGUAAUUUCUCCCAAAAUUACUAAAUCUUUUUUUUCAUCUCUCUUUGCUUUACUCUGUUCAUCUCUUUUCCUUAACCCAUGUUCUUAGCACCUGCUUCUUUAACCACACCCUAGGAUACACAGUCCUUUCGGUUCCCUGACCAUGGCGGACUUCCACUUCCCUAGGUAUUUACAGGUUAAUCCAUCGGGGU
rnacentral:lncRNA from 1 species